rnacentral:rRNA from 1 species
CCUACGGGUGGCUGCAGUCGAGAAUCAUUCACAAUGGGGGAAACCCUGAUGGUGCGACGCCGCGUGGGGGAAUGAAGGUCUUCGGAUUGUAAACCCCUGUCAUGUGGGAGCAAAUUAAAAAGAUAGUACCACAAGAGGAAGAGACGGCUAACUCUGUGCCAGCAGCCGCGGUAAUACAGAGGUCUCAAGCGUUGUUCGGAAUCACUGGGCGUAAGGCGUGCGUAGGCUGUUUCGUAAGUCGUGUGUGAAAGUCGCGGGCUCAACCCGCGGACGGCACAUGAUACUGCGAGACUAGAGUAAUGGAGGGGGAACCGGAAUGCUCGGUGUAGCAGUGAAAUGCGUAGAUAUCGAGAGGAACACUCGUGGCGAAGGCGGGUUCCUGGACAUUAACUGACGCUGAGGCACGAAGGCCAGGGGAGCGAAAGGGAUUAGAUACCCCUGUAGUC